GGAGCUGAGAGAACACAAUUCAAAAACAUUUUUCUGUCACAAUUUACCCCAUGAUUUGCAACACUAUGGUCGAACUGACAUAAAACCGUAAUCAACUGAACAUGGACGAAGAGAACGGAGUGUUGCCUUGAUGGCCAUGAGCCAGUCAACCUUCCAUUCAUUAGUGUGCAGUUCUUGAAAGUUAUAUGACAGAGAGAUGUCUAGUGAUGUUUUAUUUCAAUCCAUAAUCUAUCAGACAAAUGCCAUGGAAUCAAACACCGCUUGGAUUAGACUGUUUUAUAUUGUCUUUGUGAUGGUUUUCUUAACGACACGCACAGCAAGCUGCCUCAAAUGUUACGAAUGCAAGGGACCAGAUGACGGCCGACCAUAUCCAAAAUCAAUAUGCGAAAACGAGCUAAGAGAAGUUACGUGCGCAAGCGAUAACUACACAUGUGGCACUUAUCACCACAAGAUCAAAUCAGGAGCGUUGGUAAAUGAAGUGGAGGCAAGAUCGUGUGUAGCUGACUGUCGUGAUGUUGAGUCAUCGUGCAGAGGUAUCAUACUGGCGGGUGGAGAAUGCACUUUCUCUUGUUGUGACGAAGAUUUGUGUAACACUGGCACUAAGAUAAUAUCUCAACUGCUCCUCACCGCUGGGGCAUUCGUUUCUGCCGCUGUUUACUUGUAUAAAUUUUAAUAUGGUGAGUGGAGGGCAAACGAAUGAUUGUAAAAAUGUCAGAUAUACUUCAUCGUUUUUGUCAGCGUCUUAAUUUACAUUUGUCUAGUUUUUAAUACUGCAUGAUAAGUCUGAUAACGAACUUGUUUUGAUACGCUUUGUGGUUCUUUGAUUCUUAUUACAUCAUCUCAAAAUGAUCCGAAUAAGAAACUUAUUAUUUUCUCUUAUUUUCAGUAUAGUUUCACCAUUAGUUACAUUGAACCAGCCAGACAAAUAUGUUAGAACAAAUCGGCGGGUCUCGAUAACUAUGGUAUCUCAGAGAGCACGUUAAACUUCAGUUAUCAUUUGAAGUAUUGAUUCCGUGACCCAUAUUGACUUGUUGCAGUUAGCAACGAUAGUUGUCGUCUGGAAGCGCUAUUAAUGCUUAAUACAUUAAAAAUUUUCAUGCUUGUGACGCUUGGUUAACCAAGAAAAUCUUGGUCACGAAACAGGUGUUUAUGCAUGUGUUAAGGGAUACCGUUACAACCGUUUUGCUGUAUUUUUGUUUGCAAGUCCAAAGGUGCAGAUAUCAAGUGAAUUUGAAGGGAGUGCGGCUUGUAAGUAGAUUUUAACAAUUUCUCCAAGAUUCAACGACGAAAAUGGAAAACGUCUGCCAGACUUUUCGAUUUCACAACCGAGUGCGUGUGUUAACUUAUUAUAACACUCUUUUAUAGUUAGUGCGCUUAUGUAGAUAUUUGUAAUAAAGCUAGACGAUUAUGUUUAGGUUUCCGGCUAACAAUAUAGUCUGUUUAGGUUUGACUUUUAGAAGCUAUUCUCAUGAGUAGCGCCAAUGUAAAAAAGCACUAACCGUGAAUCGCUGGAUUACCACUCGUUUAUUGAUCUCUGUACCAGUUGUCCUAACUACAGGCUAUGUCAGGGAUUUUGCGGUAAUGAAAGGUUACAGUGAAACACAUUCCGGUGCAGUUGACGGAAGGAAUUCGUUGUCUAGCCAACUUCUUACCUGAGACUGUUCGUCAAAGUACGACUCAGUAGAGCUGCAACCUUUAAGCCUUGCUUUGCAACUGACUACAGGGGUAUUUAAUAUAGCAACGGGAACGAGUCUUCUGUGUACAUAUCCAUUACUACUGACUAAGACAAAGCAAAUCUCUUGAAGUGGUCUAGAUAUUUUGAAAGGAAGUUGUGUUAAUAUCUGAGCUCAGUGUUACUAGCCCAACUGCAGCGGAAUAUGCCGGCAAGUACGGUAACGUGAACUAAACGUACAAGUUAACAAAACAAACGUUCAACUCUGACUACAAUGACAAAAAUCUUAAAUAACGAAUUUCACUUCGUAACACUUGUGUUGUUCCCAGUAUGAUCCAGGUCAGAGUGGUGUGACAGAAAAGCUAUCUUUCUACUGAUAUACUACAGCAACUGAAAAUUCAGUUUGACAAUAUAGUUAGAUGCAGAUAUGUCACAUGACUGACUACAAAUAAUUAUAUCAUAACCAUCGCCCAACUUAAAACAGAAAUCAACCACUGCAGUACUUCAGGUGCGACCAUGUCUCCCUUGUUACACAGCUCCGAGUUACAGCACGCGAGUUGAUAGUCCCAGCCGAACAUUUCUGCGUGCUCGAACCUUUUCUGCAACUCAUCGCAAAGCUUCUCGUUGGCACAGGCUCGCAAUUCAUGUUCCAUCUUGCUGCCAUCUUCCAUUUUUCUGCUCUGGUGUGCUUUAACACAUUUGUCAAAGUUAGGGUAACAUGUGGUCUCCGUUUGAUUUUUCUCGCAUUGCUCAGGAGUAAAGGACUUUCCCUCGGCGAUGGCUUGGUAUGGACUGCAGAAGUAACAUUUCAAACAAAAACCUGAUAAAUUAAAGACAAAAGUAGUUAAAUGCGUAUUUAAAAUUUCUUCACAAUGUAAGCAUUAUACAUCUCACAAAAGAUACAACAUAGUGAAUUAUAAAAUUCUAAUGGAGUAAAACAGGA